ensembl:lncRNA
AUACUUUUUCAUCAUGAGAUUGCACAGAACAAUAGGAGUUGAAAGGGACCUCUGGAGAUCAAGUCCAGCCUCCCUCCUGAAGCAGGUUCCCUACAAUAGGUUACAUGGGGCAGCAUCCAGCAAAAGUAUCUUCACCAAACCUCAAACUACACUUCAAGAAGUCAAGAAAUAAUAAUGGUGGUUUGAGGCAUGAAACAAAGGAUGGUAUUGUUGUGUGGAGGAAGCAAGCACAACCUAGGUAGGUGAAGCAUGGUAAGUCCAGGUGCAGUCUCACAUCAGUGCCUGACUGCCUGCAUUCCAUUGGCUUCCUUGCUAGGCUGCAUUUAUUUCUUUUCCUAUGAGAUGCCGAAGCCCCAGCCAUGCUAGAGUGUGUGUCUAAGCAAUGAGCUGCUCUGUUGAUUAAUCUGCUGUCGCUGUGGAGCAAAUUGCUUGGCAUGUUUUAGCUGUGACAGGUGGGUUUCUAUUAGCCAGUGUUCACGUAGCUUGCACUAUCCAUCACAUAAAGAAUCAUGUCAUGUCAGAGCUGCAUUGUGAUCAUGACAAGAAGACAGAUCAGGUAUCGUAUAGGGGAAAUAAAAAUACAUGCAUGGUGCAAAUAAAAAAAUCUUUAGGGUUUCUUUGUUUGUUUGCUUUGUAAUUAAGAAGACACAGAACAGAUCUUUUAGAGAUGCAGGAUGAAAUUGGGAAAUAGAAACUGAUAACUGAGUUAGAGGGACAUGGUUUUCAUCCCAGAGGUUUUUACAGAGUACACAGGGAUUAACUGAGUUGUUGAAGCUUGUACUCUCUCUUGCUAAUUAAGCCUAAGUUCAAUACAGAAUAAUUGCUUGUGCAUUGCAGGUAAGGUGAAGGAGGGAACUCGUUGCUGUUGUGCAGUUCUGCAGCAGGCAAGACCUGAGCUGCAUUAAAAAAAAGCAUUUAUCUAUGGCAAUGUUUUUGUUACCUUUUUGAUACUUUAGAAAUAUUCCUAAUUCAUUGUCUUCCAGGUAGAGAGGUUAUUUCUAUUAUAUAAAUGAUAUUAAAUAUGUAUAUUAAAAUGUCCUUUGGACAGUUCUAACUUGUGGGAUGAAAUGGCAAGGCAGAUGGGGAAAAUGUCUGUGGGAACAGGGGAGUAACUGGAAGAUAAGUGGAAAAAAACAGGAUCUGACUAUUAAAGACAUCUGGGAGGUUUGUAUGUCUAAAAAAUUUGGGGAUUUACAAUCACAACAUGCUAUAAAACUGGAGUUGCAAAUCAAACUUCUCUUACUUUAUAUGCCUUGCAGAGCCAUGUUUUGUGAGUCAAACACAGAACAAAAUAGAAACCCCCAAAACACCCCAACCACACUGGGAAGUCACCCAGAGAGAAGAGAUUACGUUUAGAAGAGCUUUUGUUCCCAGUGAGCUAAAGAUAUUAAUACGCAUCUGGUAUACAAUGAUAUCAGCAUACUGAAUUGCAGGAAGAGCAGGUUAUUGGGGAGUCAGGAUCUGUUGUUGAGAUUUGUUUGUACUCAGUAUUUAGCAAAAAGAAAAGGAAUAUAAUUAGAAGACUGUGAACUGGGGUAAGAGUUGUUUCUUCUAAAGAAGAAACAAUGAGGAGAGGAUGUCUGCUGAAAUAGUCUCUUCAUGCAGGCAGCUCAGAGAUGUCCACGGAAGGAAAUCUGUUCAGUAGCCCAUAAUCGCUCUGAGUUCCAUGUAGAUGUUGAUCUUUUGUUCAGCUGAUUUCCUUUUGGUAGCUGUUUUCUGCUUUGCAAUCAAGAGAUAGAAUAAACGGGACUCCUGCUUUUCCUUAUUCUUAUCAAACGACAGAGGAAUCUUAAGGCCAGGUGUUGGUGUAUGCUAGUUGCUCUCCAGGGAACAAAAGCAGCAAGCAGGUGGAGACAGAAUGGUUCGCUUCCAAAUGUUUCAGAGUUCUUGGGCUUGGGAUGUGUUGCCUCCUAGCUCAGUUCGACGCAAGGUGGUGGCUUGCAAAAGGAAGCCUCCCAUGGCAGCCUUCAGCCAGCAUAGCUUUACCAGGCUCCCGUUGAAAUGAAGUGAGCGUUUAACUCAGAUGAUAACUGUG